AGACUACCACGUUGAUAGGCAGGAAGUGUAAGGGCUGUGAGGUCCUGAGCUGACCUGUACUAAUUGCCCGAGUGACUUUCCUAA
rnacentral:rRNA from 1 species